GGCGACAUCUCUCUAACCCUAAUACAGCUUAGGAAAAAACACGAAGAUUGACUAUCCUCUUCGUGCGGCCAGAGGCAAUGACGUUUGCGCUCCAUCUCAUUACUGAAACUGUUGCAUCACUCACCGUAUCCUUACUUGCCUCGAGUCUGUUGUUGGGUUUUGCUUUUACGAUUGAAGUGCUGAAUAUCAUGGUGAUGUUCUUCUUACUGAUUUGAGGAUGAAUAGCGAAGAAAUCUUAUCUCCUCCUAGCCAGUUCUUCAGCUGAGAAUUUGGAAGACCAGAAACGUAGAGAGAAGCUGUUAGAGUAUGGUCGUGGACAUGCCCUCGCUUUCAUUACACGACGCCUCCGUGAUCCGGAAUCAUUUAUCCGAUGAGUCUGCGUCGCAGCUGUGUGGGCGAUCUCUUCCCGGACGACGAGGCUUUCUUUUGUUUCUGUAUUCACGAAGCUGUUGACGGACACACUUUUGACAUAGCAUGAGGUUAAUACGCAGAACAGAGAAGCGUUGUGUCAUGUGGAGGCGACUGAUGUUACGGAGGAUCCAGUUCGGUUAAGACAGGUGUUUCUUCCUAAGCUGGAGAAGUUGGUGAAGUGUAAAGCUUUUAAGGCGAGUUCGGUGGGAAUGGUUAUGAACGGAAGUGUGAUUGGUGAUGGAGGAGCUACGGGAGCUCUGAUGGAUUAUUUAGUUAGCUUCUUGAAGAUUUGAGCGGCGAGGAAAGCAGCCGCCGAGGCCUUAGAGGGGUUUGCCACGGUGGAAAUAAAUGAUUUAGGAGAGUACAAAGCCAAGUCUUUGAAGAUCUUCAAAAGCAAGAAAUGUUUCGAUCUGUGUAUCUUUUUCAAAUUUGUGCUUAGCCUUGAGGUGUUAAAGGUAUGAUUGUAUUUACUUAUUCUUCCUGCUAUUGAAUAGUACUAAAUUAUAAGAUUUUUUGUUUUGUUGUUUUAGUUUUUCUAUGAAUGUAAUAUUGUAAAUGUCUUCACUUGGUAUCAAGGUCAGCGAGAGAGUGAGAGUAUCAUUGUACUAGAUUUAGUUGUUGGAACCAUCCACACCAUUCUUGGUACAUUGUAAAGUGGUUGGAGUUGUUUAUUGGUUUGGUUUUUAAUUUC